UUGUCCCUGUAUUCCCAUCUCUGCUAGAGCAUCUCCAUCCCUAGGUUACUUCCCUUGCUCUCCACUGCUUUGUCCCACUUCUCUUUUGAAAAAUAGGACCUGAUCAUGACGUUGGUCAUUCACGUUUACCAAGAGAGGGGUUGAUGGGUUAAUGAAACGAAGAAAUGCUCAAUUUUAAAAGAAUAACUAAUAACAUCUUAAGAACACUGGAGAUAUGGAGGAGGCCCAAGAGAAGGUGCGGGGUGAACUGAGCAUGGGUGAGGCCUGUACCCAGCUAGUGCUCAGGACAAUGUGAGUUUGCGAACACUUCUCAGCCGGGUCAUCUUGAUAUCUCUGUUGUCGUUUUUUACCUUCAGUAGAAUCUUGGCUCCAUAGGAUCUCUGACCACAGGCCCUCAUCUGGCCUUUUCCUGUCUCUGAGCUGUGGGCAUGAAGUCCUUGGUGUGGCCGGGUCAGCCUAGACGCACGUUUAAUCUGGACCUUGGUUCCUGUGCUUGUGAUGAUGUUUGCGAGUUUGUUUUAUAGAUGACUGUACCUGCUCCUGUGUUGUGUAACAGUCUGGUCCUGUUUGUUCUGGGUGUCAGCCAUCUGACAGCUUCAGGAGCCACCUUGCUCACAUGUCUUAGUUCCAACAAGACCCAGGCCGACCCUGCAGUGAGUCUCUGAGGGAAAGAGCACACUCGCCCCUUCUCUCCAGGCCUGUCAUGCCACAAGGUCGGUGAUGGCUCACUAUCCGAACUCAGGGAUUCACAAGCAUGGCCUGCUGUUAGUUCACAGUGGUUGUCGAUAGUGCCUGUUAGACAAGGACCGUCCUCACAUGAAGAUGGGCAUGAAAUCAUGUUGUGGGGCCGAGAGACCAGAGUCCUUGUGAAAGCAGCCCGGCAGCAUGAGUGUCCAUGGAGGGGAUGUGCGGCUGCAGCUGCCACCACAGAGCAUUCGGUCUGAGGCCGCGUGACUGAAGACACUCUCUCGGCAUGAAGACCCUGUGCUGCAUCCGUCUGACACCAGGGCGUGGUGACCCCAGGACACACACGGUUCAUGCCUGGGAAUUCACCGACCUGUGGAGUGUGUGUUUGUGCAGAAAGAGGAAGAUUGUUUAACCCAGGUUAAACUUCUGACCUGAAGAACUAAAAUACAUGUGUAUUACUUUUAAGUCCUGCCA